AUUGACAACGUUUGACAGGAGAGUAGAGGCAAUUAUAUUCAGUCAACAGACCCUUUUAUACAUGAGUCUGUUGCCUGAAUAUAGUCACCUCCACACUCCACUUCACAUCGCACCAGAG
rnacentral:precursor_RNA from 15 species